UUACUAAUUAUUGUCCUUUUUAUACAUUUUCUUCUUAAAAAUCUUAUUAUGGUAAGGAUAAUGUAUUUGUUCCCUUCAAGUGUCUGCCACUGCAGCUGAUGUUGAGACAACUCUCAGUCUUCCUGCAAGUCCUCGCCUGAUGCUACCUGGCACUUUAUUGGUAUAAUUCCAGAGAGAUGGACAAAGCCCAAAAUCAUCAGGCAAGGUUGUCACUAAGAAGAAAGAGUUGUAAUUGUCCAGAAGUCGUCUUCUGGAGUUAAUACACGCAUCGCCAUGCUACUGAAUAAUCUCGUUGACUUUUUAAAAUAGAUCGUGGCAGCACUGGAAUAAUGCUGCAGAGAGGAACAGCGGCUACCAAAGUGAUGAUCAUCUCUUCUGGAUCCACAAGAUCUAAGAUGUAAAAACACAAGCCUACCUCACAGGACAAUUUUAAGAGGUAACCUGCAAGUCUAGCUUGCAGUGGCACAGGUGCCUACCCUACGGUUUCAUCCUAAAUGGUUUUUUGUGCAUGUUAUUGACACAUGACAAAAUGUUACACUGUACUAUAAUAGUUUCAAAAUGGCCUUAAGUGUGUUUUCAAACGUAUGUCUUA